GCGCAGCAGUCGCGAAUUUUUCUCAAUGGGGGAAACCCUGAAGGAGCGACGCCGCGUGGAGGAUGAAGGCUUUCGGGUUGUAAACUCCUGUCAUUUGGGAACAAGUUGCACACGUUAACUGCGUGGGCAUUGAUAGUACCAGAAGAGGAAGGGACGGCUAACUCUGUGCCAGCAGCCGCGGUAAUACAGAGGUCCCAAGCGUUGUUCGGAUUCAUUGGGCGUAAAGGGUGCGUAGGUGGCGCUGUAAGUCGGGUGUGAAAUUUCGAGGCUUAACCUCGAAACUGCAUUCGAUACUGCGGUGCUUGAGGACUGGAGAGGAGACUGGAAUUCAUGGUGUAGCAAUGAAAUGCGUAGAGAUCAUGAGGAAGACCAGUGGCGAAGGCGGGUCUCUGGACAGUUCCUGACACUGAGGCACGAAGGCCAGGGGAGCAAACGGGAUUAGAUACCCCCGUAGU
rnacentral:rRNA from 1 species